UAACUGCAAUUCAUCUUUCAUUAUUGAAUAUAUCAUCCAUCCACAUUUCUGCUUCAUUUACACGUCUCACACUUUAAGGAACACACAUUUAUCCAGUUUGAAAGAAUUGUAACAAAACGGAACAAAUAGCAACAGAAUGAUCCAAACAUCGCGGUACGAAAAAAAUGUACAUGCCGAACGCCUGAUUCCACGGUUACCGCCUUUUUGCAUCGUGACGUCACGCAACUAACGAAUAGAAGCGUAGAUGCGAGAUAUCGUUAGCUCGAUUCCACGCUCGAUUCCCAUGGUUGGUAGAUAAAUUCGCGUCAUUAGAGGUUAAUGGAUAAAUUCACGUGUCUUAUUGGAAACUUUUUUUUAUCAUCGGAUUAUUGUGUGCUAAUAAACGAGCAGCAUCAAUCAUCGUUAGUGAAAUGAAACGGACGAAUGCACACACGGAAACAUAUAAACGGAUAACAUCGGAAUCCUAAGCUUUCUGGAGAUCUUCCGUAGCCAAAUACAACGACGACGACGCGACAACAUGCUCUGGGAGUUCGGAGGUCUGUUUACACGAGUUCGCAAAUAUAGCCAUAGGUAUCGGAGCCAACCGAAGCGAAGAAUUGAUAAAUUAGUUAUUCCGUCAGUCGUCUGCUGCUGUUCCUCCAGGAACGAAGAACUACAGGUCUUGUGACGAUCUAAUGUUGCAGAAUCAAAAAGUAUAUUUUGAAAUGAUAAUAAACUGACAUAAUUUGAUGUAAUACAUGUAAUCUGAUACAUGUCAGAUGUUAGAGAUUAUACAAGGUUAUAAAUUAUUCGGAAAAGCUUUAAUAGUGGGCGUAGCUGGCGCGUUUAUCAUCGGAUAACAGUUCCGGAGUAUAUCCUUUGAAUGUAACUCUACUCUUGGGCAAACAAGACUAAGGGUUAUGACCAUUCUCGUUUGUCUUUGCAUCCAGAGAAUCUUCGCGCGAAAUCCCUAGCCAGGACCCAAUUAACUCUCUAAGAAUUCGAUCGUAUCCCAUGGUAAUUCUAAGAUAGUACGACUCUAACAGCAGAUUAGAAAAGACAAUAUUUGCUUCGGUGCUUCUGCGUCUAAUCGCAGAUGCGCCUUCACUUAAUAUCGCUUACUAUUUGUCUUCCUUUACAAUGGAAAUUUGCGACGUGGGUAUUACACAGAUAGAACAAAAAUCGAGGGUCACGUCCAAAAUGGCCGACAUCUCAUGCGAACUGCAACGCUUCUAAGAAUCCUUCGUCUCUGACCACAGAAACCCGUAUCCGCAUCGACGACGGUUUGAAUUGAAGAUUUUUGCGGACGGUAACUCGUUGGCUCACGCGCUAACGUAUUUGCAAGAUCCGCUGCGCUGAUGGACAUAUAAUGCGACGUGUGAUUGUAGGCCCGCCAAUCGCGGCCGAUUGUGCCUCUGAAGGCCCGCUAACUAUCUCAAACUAGCCCCAUUCAAACCGCCACGACCUCUCUCUAGCCGUCUCUAUCUACCAACCCAGCCUCUGUGUCUCGCUCGUUCCAACCCUCAUUCACCGCCACCCUCCCCCUGGUACCCGUGUGUCUCGUUCAUCACCAAACUUCGCCUCUCUGUUGCUCUCAACUCGCGUCUCGUUUGCACCGAUUUCACAGGACGAUUUUCCCUCCUACUCGGUGAAAACUCGGUCCUCAUUCGCCGUUCGAAUUCGACGUACGUUUCUUGCCGCACGUUUCUUCUGCACGCCCUGUAUCCUUCUCUAAUUUUCGACCGGCUCUCUCGCCACACACGUAAUCUUCUAUUUCAUUCGCUUUACCUUUCCUAAUGUGAUAGCUCGCUCCAUACACAUACAGUCGUAGCCUCAUCUCUUUUCAAUCUCACCUCGCGGAUCGAAUGUUUUGCCUUCCAUUUAACAUCCUUUAUCUCGCUCCCUCUAUUCAACUCUCUCAAAAAAAGUUUUUCUCUUCGAGGUUCUGGCGAUUCCAUUCGCCCCGUUAUCUGGCCCUCCGUCCAUCUAAUGUUUCCACUUUCUUUUCAUCCGUUAAAUCGUGCAUCUCGUUUAACUCGACUUCCGUCGUUUUCUAUUUCGCAAAUUCAUACAUUCUCGUCUCUAGCCAUUCCUUUUAAGAAUGUAAGCCCUACAUGCACUUUCUUCCCUGCUCCACCGUCACCGCUUCUCACUCGUUUGAUUUUCGCGUUCUUUUUCUCGACUAUGCAGCACUGCUUCAUUUUCCCCCCUUCUUAAAUCUAUGUUCUCUCUCACUUUCGUCCGUCUUUUUCUCCCUCCCUCUCUCUCUCUCUCUCUCUCUCUACCCUUUCGAACCGCAACCAACUACCUCUCCUCUUUCAACCUAUUCCCUCGACGUACCUUAUCUCUAUUCUCGGUCUCUGUUCGACCUGCUUCAUUCAUCGACACAAUCACGCAUGGUUACGUAGGUACAUUCCGCUAGGCGUCACCGAGUAUUCGUCCCGAUUCGAAUUCUCGACCCUAUAUAACCGUGGCACGUUCUACGUGGGAAUUUCAAAUCUAUCAGCGACCCAGACGAAUGCAAAUCGCGCAUGAAGCGCGCUUAAUAAAGCCUCGCACGCGGCCCGCAACUCGCAAUUUUCUUUUCGACGCUACGUGUCGCACGCUUCUCUUAAUGAAACCUUCGCAUGCACCGUGCGCAAUUCGCGGCUACGCUCCCAUUCAACACGCAUCUCCGUCCCGCGAUACCGUUAGAAAAAGAACGCACUCGGGAUCGUUAAGCUUCGGCCCAGGGGAGAGAACGAGGGCCAUUUCAACUCCCUUGUAGAAAGAGAUCCGUUCAUAAGAAUACAAGUUCCAUAGAAUAAAAGUUUUCUAGUAAAUCACGGAAAUUCUAUUGUCUAAUAAACUUUAUGGAUGUCGCAUAAAUAAAAUGAAAUACUUAAGAACUAUUUCCUUUUAUUCCCAUUAUAAAUAGAAGACUUUAUAUUACGAAACUUCUAUUUUGCUUCUAUCUUUAAUGGUCAAGUUCAAAGCGAUAACAUUUAUAGGAGCUUCCCACAAAAUGGUCUCUAUCAAGCUUAAACUUUUGACUUACUUUCGUCAAGAAAUCGCUUCUCGUACCAUUGCGUCAUAAAUUUAUCCCCACCACCCUGAGAACGUACACCGAUGAACCGUUCCUCUUUCCAAUAAAUUCUUCUCGAAUCACCUGUCGUCAUUUCGUCCAGCUUUCAAGCGAUUCCGACCAAUCGUGAGACACGCCUCAAAGCGUCAGUGCAAAAAUUGUGACGAUAUCGUCACAGCGGAUAUCGAUCUUGACGAUCAGCGUCAGGAACAAUAUCGAGCUGGAGGAGGAUGUCGCUUUUGACCGGGCGUAUUUCGACCAGGCGAAAAUUGAAUUUCGAGGAAGCCGAGUCAAGAGAUAAGCAUGGAGAAGCGUACCAGCUAUUUGCGUGGCCUUAAUAAGGACGUUUGACGGCGUUAGCUUUCCCUUAACAAGACGGCUAAUAUCCCGGGGCCUUGGCUCCCCUUGGUCUACCUUCUCUGUCCUUCCCUCUGUUCCUUCGUCUCCCUUUCUCCAUCGACUCGCUCGCCUUCCGCACAGCGGACACCGUCGGGAAUCACCAAAGCUUGAAAACCGAACAAACUCAGUUAGAGAACUCGGUGUGAGGAGCAACCGGACCUGCCGGCAAAACUCAUCCUUCUCCGCAUCCACGAUUCUCUUACGCAGCUUGCCACGUU